UUGACCUCGGAUCAGGUAGGAU
rnacentral:rRNA from 3 species